AUGCAAAAUUCAUACAGUUCACCCACUGGUGACCUCUGCAUGAUACAGUGUACUACCGGCUUGUUGUUGUAUUACUCUGACGCUGCCACGGCAGGAGCCGCCCCGCCGCCGGUCAGAUGCAUGCUCCUGCGCGCCGCAGCCGCCGCACAACCAGGCCGCGCAGGUGCAGCAACAGAUGGCCGGCGCCGUCCCGAGAGCUACCACGCAAACCAGCGCGAGCACAAGCGCCACUGCCAGCGCCCAACUCGGGCAACGACGGCCUCCGCAGCUGGCUCCCCCGGUUGCUGUCGGUCUCCCCAGCUCAAGAAGAGGACCAUCCGCACGCGCGGCUGCAUCGACACCGCGUCCCUGCCACCGCAGUGUCGCGCGCUGGUCGUCGCCCGUGCCAGCCACACUGCGCUCCGUCGAUGCUCCGCCAGUGCGCUCGCCGUUGCCGGAUCCUCCGCGGCUGGUGCGGUGUCCGGUGACGAGGAUCUGAAGGAGCCCCUCCUUGUCCCUCGCCUUGGCCGCCAGCCUGAGCUCCCGCAGCGCGGCGGGGAGCCUGGACCUCUUGCUCCUCUUCUUCUUCAUGGCGUCGCUCCGGCACAAGGACGGCUUCGGGGAGCUGUCGACUCGCCGGAGAGCUCUACCGCCGCAGCUGCCACCGAUCAUAGCAGACCCAUGGAGCAGAUGCAUGGAUGGGUCGAUGAUGUCGGUGUACUACAACGCUACCACCGGCUCGCGCUAGCUUGCGUCCCGUGCAACUCCGAUCGAUCGACGCGGCUGUUGAGUGUCAAACUGGCUCCUCUGGUCGCCGAUGCUAGCUGGACGGCCGAGCUCGUCUCUGGUCAGCUGCAGCUAUAUGCAUCUUGUUAUUUAUACCCGCUAGCAAAGUAG
rnacentral:rRNA from 1 species